UACGUAGGGUGCAAGCGUUGUCCGGAAUUAUUGGGCGUAAAGAGCUCGUAGGCGGUUUGUCGCGUCUGCUGUGAAAACUCGGGGCUUAACCCCGGGCCUGCAGUGGGUACGGGCAGACUAGAGUGCGGUAGGGGAGACUGGAAUUCCUGGUGUAGCGGUGAAAUGCGCAGAUAUCAGGAGGAACACCGGUGGCGAAGGCAGCCCCCUGGGUCAAGACUGACGCUCAUGCACGAAAGCGUGGGGAGCAAACAGG
rnacentral:rRNA from 1 species